rnacentral:rRNA from 1 species
UACGAGGGGGGCAAGCGUUGUUCGGAAUCACUGGGCGUAAAGGGCGCGUAGGCGGUGCGGUAAGUCACCUGUGAAAUCUCCUGGCUCAACUGGGAGCUUGCAAGCGAAACUGCCGUGCUGGAGUGUGGGAGAGGUGCGUGGAAUUCCUGGUGUAGCGGUGAAAUGCGUAGAGAUGUGGAGGAAUACCGAUGGCGAAGGCAGCCUCCUGGGAUAACACUGACGCUGAGGCACGAAAGCGUGGGGAGCAAACAGG